GAUGAAGAACGUAGCGAAAUGCGAUAAGUAAUGUGAAUUGCAGAAUUCAGUGAAUCAUCGAGUCUUUGAACGCACAUUGCGCCCCCUGGUAUUCCGGGGGGCAUGCCUGUCCGAGCGUCAUUGCUGCCCUCAAGCACGGCUUGUGUGUUGGGCCCCCGUCCCCGGUUCUCCCCGGGGACGGGCCCGAAAGGCAGCGGCGGCACCGCGUCCGAUCCUCGAGCGUAUGGGGCUUUGUCACCCGCUCUGUAGGCCCGGCCGGCGCCAGCCGACACCCCAACUUUAUUUUCUAAGGUUGACCUCGCAUCAGGUAGGGAUACCCGCUGAACUUAAGCAUAUCAAUAAGCGGAGGA
rnacentral:misc_RNA from 1 species